GGGAUAAGUUAAAUAAAGUCCAACAUUCAGCCUGCCUAUGUAUAAGCGAAUCGCUUCGAACGACCCCGUCUGCAGCACUGGACACCUUGCUCUACCUUACACCUCUUGACAUAUUUAGUAAACAAAUAGCUCAAAGCUUCGUCGCAGUGGACUAACAACAACAUUGGCUACUCCGUAAUUCUAAGAAAAUAUUAAAAGUCAAAGAUUGCUUUCAUACACAAAUAUUGUAACGGACUAUCCAAUUUGCGGUUUCAAAAGAAUAGGCUGGAAUUUUUUUCAGUUGAAAGUCUGAGGGUCCGGCCACGUAAUGAGCGACGAGCGACCGAGCGACGCAAACAAAUUAGAACACAUGAAAUCGUAUGGAGCUGGCCACAUAUCUGCCCAAAGCUGCCCAGUGCUAUGGCAGGACACCCACAAAGAUUACAAAAAUAAAAAGAGGCUGGGAUGCGACCCACACUGAUAACUUCCCAUCCCGUCUGUCGAUUUGUCUUGCUUAAAAGUUUGUCUAUAUGUACUCGUAUCAAUUUUUACCAAAUUUGCGCACUAUUUUUUGUAGAUUUUAUUUUUUUAUGAAAACACUGACUGUUGGAUUUUUAUAUAAAAAUUACUGAAUAUUGAAAACAAUAUUUUCUGUGAAAUAAAAUAAGUUUGAAUA